GACGAACGCUGGCGGCGUGCUUAACACAUGCAAGUCGAACGGAGCGAAUGAAAGCUUGCUUUUAUGAGCUUAGUGGCAAACGGGUGAGUAACACGUAGACAACCUGCCGACAGGAUGGGGACAACAUUCCGAAAGGAAUGCUAAUACCGAAUGAAGCGGAGGAGAGGCAUCUCUCUUCCGUGAAAGAUGGCCUCUUUUUAUGCUAUCACCUGUUGAUGGGUCUGCGUCUGAUUAGCUAGUUGGUGAGGUAACGGCUCACCAAGGCGACGAUCAGUAGCCGGUCUGAGAGGAUGAACGGCCACAUUGGGACUGAGACACGGCCCAGACUCCUACGGGAGGCAGCAGUGGGGAAUCUUCCGCAAUGGGCGCAAGCCUGACGGAGCAACGCCGCGUGAGUGAAGAAGGUCUUCGGAUCGUAAAGCUCUGUUGACGGGGACGAACGUGCGGAGUGCGAAUAGCGCUUNGUAANGA
rnacentral:rRNA from 1 species